CCUACGGGAGGCUGCAGUGAGGAAUAUUGGUCAAUGGGCGCGAGCCUGAACCAGCCAAGUAGCGUGAAGGAUGACUGCCCUACGGGUUGUAAACUUCUUUUAUAAAGGAAUAAAGUGAGGCACGUGUGCCUUUUUGUAUGUACUUUAUGAAUAAGGAUCGGCUAACUCCGUGCCAGCAGCCGCGGUAAUACGGAGGAUCCGAGCGUUAUCCGGAUUUAUUGGGUUUAAAGGGAGCGUAGAUGGGUUGUUAAGUCAGUUGUGAAAGUUUGCGGCUCAACCGUAAAAUUGCAAUUGAUACUGGCAGCCUUGAGUACAGUUGAGGUAGGCGGAAUUCGUGGUGUAGCGGUGAAAUGCUUAGAUAUCACGCAGAACUCCGAUUGCGAAGGCAGCUUACUAAACUAUAACUGACACUGAAGCACGAAAGCGUGGGGAUCAAACAGGAUUAGAUACCCUUGUAGUC
rnacentral:rRNA from 1 species